UAUAUACUCCCUCCGUCCAGAAAUACUCGUCGGAGGAAUGGAUGUAUCUAGAUGUAUUUUUGUUCUAAAUACAUUCAUUUUUAUGCAUUUCUCCGACAAGUAUUUCCGGACGGAGGGAGUAUAUA
rnacentral:pre_miRNA from 1 species